GAAGACAGGGUUUGUAACUCUCACUACAACAAAAUAUGCUUUUAGCGGCAUAUAUUUUACGGCAAUAACUUUAUUGCCGCUAAUUGUAUUCUAGAAUCAUUUAUUAUGGGCAAUAGCAAACUUUAGCUAGUAAGCUAAUAUAUUUUGUUGGGGCUAUUACUAUAUUUGUACAUAUUCUUUUACUAUAUUUUCACAUAUUCUGUUAGGAAAAAAAAAGUUGCCUCGAAACUCCAAAAGAUUAGUUCAUUUACCUCCAAUUAUUUUUAUUCUCUGAAAUUCAAAUAGACGAUCUCUGUCUUUAUAACGCUCUCUCUUCUCUACCGUCCCCUCUCUUUCUCUCUUUCUGCUCUGUAUUUCAAAAUCAAUAAUCGCCAUGGCUUCUGUAAGUUAAGCUCAAAAUUUUAAGUUGAGAAAAUAGGACUUUGAUUGCUGUUUUAUAUGACACAAUUUAUCAUUUACUGGAAAUGAUGGAUAUCCUACAAUCCGAAAUUUUACUUCUCAGAAUCAUGCAUAGAUUUCCUUCGCUAUUCACCAUUAGUAGCCGAGAUGUGCCAAAAUUUUGAGUUCAUGGAGACCAAGAGAAGCCACCAUUGAUAACUUAUCCAGAUUGGGCUCUAAAUCGUAAGUGAGAGUUUGUGUUUCAAAGUGAACUUGUUUGAUUUGUUUCAAAGAAGAUACUCGAGCUCACUCAUAGUAAAUUUCCUUUCCUAUUACAUCAUUUUUCGACAUUUUGCUAGCUGGAACUGUUAGUUAAUUUAUAUCUGUGAUAGAUCUAUGGCCAUGUUGGAGUUGGACUUAUGAUGUUUCAUCAGCUUAGUGGUAUCAAUGGAAUCUGUUUCUACACCGGUAGAAUAUAUGAUAGAUCUAUGGCCAUGUGGGAGUUGGACUUAUGAUGUUUCAUCAGCUUAGUGGUAUCAAUGGAAUCUGUUUCUACACCGGUAGAAUAUUUGAGUCCUCAGGGUCGGAGUUUUUUUCUGCGAAAAUCAAAUGAUCACUCCACCGGCUAGGGAUGGAGCCCGUUAUGAUUACCUCAUCAAUUUCCUCUUGAUCAGCGGCAGUGGUAAGAUUUUUUUAUAAGUUUCGUGGUCUGUAGUCCUACAAUCUUGGUGUAUAAAUAUGACGCUAUCAUACUCCUUAGUUCUAAGUAAAUAUGUCAGUUGUUCACACGUCAAAGAAUGUCAAUUUAGUCUUGCCCUUUUCAAAGUUUAAACGCAUCAUAAUUUACUACAAAUUUCAGGUUUUGCAACUGUGACGUUUGGCAUAGGACUCAGUAAGAGUUGUUACUCCAAUUACAUAAGCCCCCUAGAGAAACUGUAAUAUUGAUUCUUAAUAAUGAAUUUUUGUGGAAUGCCAAUGACGAGUUCAUGGUGCUUAAUCUUUAGUACGAAAUCUUUGCAUGACCUAAAUUUUGAUGUACUUCGCCAGUGGAUUGAUUGCUUUCUUCAUUUCUUGUGCACACUAUCUGCGGUUGUUAACUGUUUUUUAGGUCUUGGUUACUAUCUCAUUUGGCUAUUUUUAUGGAGUACGAGGAGCCAAAGGUGGAGAACUUUUUGCUAGAAUAGCACUGCUGCAGAUUUUGUGAAAGAUGAGGCUAUAGAUGGAAUAGAGGAUACACGUGCAAAAGCUUACAUGUUAACUCGUACAAAACGUAAGGAUGGUAGACCAUUGGAUGCGGAUUCUUCAAAUACAGUUCAUGUUUUCAUACAGAUAUCGAAUAAAGUUUGCUCUAUUAAAGAUCCUCCAGAUAUUACACAUGAUCGUGAUCCAACCUGUCAUAGUUUCUCUAGGAAAAGAAAUAAUGGCUCAUUUCCUUGUUUUUCCAUUGUUGGAACACAUUCUUAUUGUUUUGAUAAUUCAUACUUUUGUAUACCACAAGAACACAAGAGGUGUAUGUAUUGAGUUUGAUUGUUCUUGUUUUAAAUGAAUGACAUUUUGAGUUUGGUAAUUCUUCUAUUACUACCUUCAAAUUUAUUUCUCUUGUGAUUUUUGUUGUUGAUGCUAUAA